CCAAUUACUUCUUUUCACCAAAAAACCCCUUCGCCUUGUUUUUCAAAAACAUAGCCUUUAGCAAACACAAGUAUUAAAGGUCCCGCCUGCCCAGUGAAACUUUUAACGGCCGCGGUAUUCUAACCGUGCAAAGGUAGCGUAAUCACUUGUCUUCUAAAUAAAGACCAGUAUGAACGGCUAAAUGAGGACAAGCCUGUCUCUUAUAACUAAUCAGUGAAACUGAUCUUCCAGUACAAAAGCUGGAAUAAACACAUAAGACGAGAAGACCCCGUGGAGCUUAAAACUAAGCACCAACUACACUAUGCCCUGGUGCCCUGUUUUGAGUUGGGGCGACUUCGGAAUAAAAUAAAACUUCCGAGCACAGAACCACCAGUUCGAGCUAAGGCCAACAAGCCCAGGCACAAAACUGACCCGGCCUCCGCCGAUCAACGAACCAAGUUACCCCGGGGAUAACAGCGCUAUCUUCUUCAAGAGUCCCUAUCAACAAGAAGGUUUACGACCUCGAUGUUGGAUCAGGACACCCCAAUGGUGCAGCCGCUAUUAAAGGUUCGUUUGUUCAACGAUUAACAGUCCUACGUGAUCUGAGUCAGAAACGGGAGCUUCGUUACGAGUCAAUUUAACAACGGAAACCAUUAA
rnacentral:rRNA from 1 species